UUUGGGCACAUUGGAUAGUUUCCAAUUUUCUUCUGUUAUCUCCAAUAGUUUUAAAGACGUUGUCACAUGGGAAGUGUUCAUGAUAAGUAAACAAAAGCAGAAUAAAAAAAUACUCAAUUUAGUCAUCUUAUCUUAGCUGAAAACAAUGUACGUUUGUUAAUUCAUCCAAAUGUGUUUUGACCAACAUGCUGAGUUCCAAGCCCUGAGCCAGCUGACUGAUGGACAAAGCCCAGAAAGGAGCAGUAAAGAUGCAGAUACUACUUGUGUGGGGGUGGUGGGGCCCUGAGUAAUACAUUCCCCACACUUCCCCACCUCUUUUUCCAAACUCUCUUGGCUGUUGUUAUGGUCCCCUUGUGAUGAGAAAACUGAGAGUAAGAAGAAAAAAUUACUGAUCUGAGGAUGACGGGAAUAUUUCUUGAGCCAGAUAUCCUGCAAAGCUAUUGUUUUACGGACUCUCCAUGCAACUUGGGAGGUUGAUAAUACAGUAGCUAUUAUUAUGACACUUACCAUGUGUCUGGUGCUGUUCUACCAAUGAGAUGACAUGUUACACAGGUAAUUGUCCCCAUGUUAUACAGGAGGAAGCCAAGGCAAGGCAGGGAGGUGCCCUUCCGCUUUGGUGGUCUGUCUUUACCCACACAUGUGCAGAGCGGCACACAAACUCAUGUUCACACUCAGAUCUGUAUCAGCAUCCUUGGACACACCCAGAAGCGUAUGUACCACACCCAGACUCACAUGCGUGCUCUCCUGCAGGACUGCUCAUAUCUGCAGGCAUGCACAGGGCACGUGCAUCCACGUGAGCUCCAUGCAUAUAUAUAUCCAUGUGCAUAGAGGCUGUAUACAUUUGGACUCAUAUCUAAGAGUGGGAAAAUGGGUACAGAUAAAGCAGCCAAAGUCCAACUCCUGCCUCCUCCCUGCACCCUCAAAGCACCUUCUGGUGCUGGUGGGUGUGUACAGCACAGCACUGAGUGAGGUGUAGACAGAUGUCUAUAGGUUCAAAGAGCAGAGAUGACUUUGCACUAGAAACCAAGGGUCACCCACUAACUUCUAGAUGAGACUACAGCAACUAGAAGGCCUUAUCUGCUGGGGGGCUGCAGGGCCUGACCUGAGAGCCCACAUACAGUGUGCCCAACCCUGUACCAGGAGCUCCAAGGGCUGCACAAAAGAAGGCAUGAUCCAGGUCCUCCAGGGGUACCCAAGGGUUCGAGAGAACAAGAUUCACACCUAGGGGUGGCUUCACAUAGUGGUCAAUGGCAAGCAUUCUAGUGACAGACUGCCUGGCUUAGAAAUCUUGAUUCUAUCAUUUACUCGCUGUGUGACCUGGGCAAGUUAGUUAACUGAUGGGUGCCUCAGUCUUCCCAUCUAUAAAAUGGGGGAAAUUCUAAUGCUUACCCCUUAGGAUUGUUGCCUAACAAGUACUACAUAAGUACAUAUUUGCAAAAUAAGCCGUUUGGGGCAAAGGGGGUUUAGGGAUGAAGGACAGGCACUGAGUAGAAAUUCCUCAGGAUCCUGGCCCUGGGUCCUACUGGCUGGGUAACCAUGGACAAGUCACACAACCUCUCUGAACUUUAGUUUCUCAUUUGUAAACGUUGCACAAAUCGUUGUUGAUCACUAAACAAAUAUUUAUUGAGGCCCUACUAUGUGCCACACCCAGGGCUAGGCACAGAGAAUAUAGAAGUGAGCAAGCCAGACUGUCCCUGCCUGCAGGGAGCCUUCAGAGUUGGAGGGAGGAUAAAGUAAAAACGUCCAGUGCAUAGUAGGUGCCCACUAUCCCUUCUUUUCUCCCUUGUCUACCAUUGUGAAGACAAUGUAUCAACAGUGUAGAGAGUUUGGAGAAUACAGAGGAUGGGGGGACCUAUCACCCAGAAUCUAUUCACCCCCAACAAAACUACUAAUUUCAUUUUUGCUAAUCAAGCCAGUACACAGCUUGCCUCAUACUGAGACACUUUAAAAACCAUUUGGAUUAAUCAAUCCAUUGCGUUUGUGAUCAGCAGAAAACAGUAAUUCCUCUGCAGCAUAUUUGAUGGAAAGAAACACAAGCAAUCAUGGCCAGCCCUCGGCACACAGACGCCUUUCCCUUCUUGGGACCUGUAACAUUUCCAUCUCAUGGAAAAUGAAAUUGAGGCUUAGGUCAAGUCACUUGCCAAAUGUCACACAGAAAUGUGAAGAGCCAGCUUCAGAACCUAGAGAUCUUUGGCCUACAUUGUCUCGGGCUGUGGGAUGCAGCCAGGGAUGGACAGUAGGGCUUUGGUCAUGGUGAGCGGGCUGCCUUUCCACUUGCUGAAGUUCGGGGUUUGGAAAGUCUUUGUGGGCCAGACCUAAGAACACAGGAUAAUUGUCAGGCUCUUAAAUGGUCUUGGGGGUCUCUUCUGAGCUCAGAAACCUCUCCCUCUUACCUCUUUGGGAGCUUAGGGGCCUGCUUAGCCAGGGUCCAGCACUGGACAUGUUUGUGAUAUCUGGUUCCCUCUAGUGGGCAAAGAGCACAAACCUCUGGAUCCCCCAGGGACCUGGGAUCCGCUUCCACCUUCACCCUCCAGCCCCAGCCUUGCCGGGUGGAAGUCAGCUACCCUUGCUUC
rnacentral:lncRNA from 1 species